UGGGGAAUAUUGGGGCAAUGGGGCGAAAGCCUGACCCAGCAACGCCGCGUGAGGGAAGAAGGGUUUCGGCUCGUAAACCUCUGUCCUAUGGGACGAAGGAAGUGACGGUACCAUAGGAGGAAGCCCCGGCUAACUACGUGCCAGCAGCCGCGGUAAUACGUAGGGGGCGAGCGUUGUCCGGAAUGAUUGGGCGUAAAGGGCGCGUAGGCGGCCAACUAAGUCUGGAGUGAAAGUCCUGCUUUUAAGGUGGGAAUUGCUUUGGAAACUGGAUGGCUUGAGUGCAGGAGAGGUAAGCGGAAUUCCCGGUGUAGCGGUGAAAUGCGUAGAGAUCGGGAGGAACACCAGUGGCGAAGGCGGCUUACUGGACUGUAACUGACGCUGAGGCGCGAAAGUGUGGGGAGCAAACAGGAUUAGAUACCCUGGUAGU
rnacentral:rRNA from 1 species